rnacentral:rRNA from 1 species
AGAGUUUGAUCCUGGCUCAGAACGAACGCUGGCGGCAGGCUUAACACAUGCAAGUCGAACGCCCCGCAAGGGGAGUGGCAGACGGGUGAGUAACGCGUGGGAACAUACCCCUCGGUUCGGAAUAGCUCAGGGAAACUUGGAUUAAUACCGAAUACGGCCGAGAGGCGAAAGAUUUAUCGCCGAGGGAUUGGCCCGCGUCCGAUUAGCUAGUUGGUGAGGUAAUGGCUCACAAAGGCGACGAUCGGUAGCUGGUCUGAGAGGAUGAUCAGCCACAUUGGGACUGAGACACGGCCCAAACUCCUACGGGAGGCAGCAGUGGGGGAUAUUGGACAAUGGGCGCAAGCCUGAUCCAGCCAUGCCGCGUGAGUGAUGACGGCCUUAGGGUUGUAAA